rnacentral:rRNA from 1 species
UACGUAGGGUCCAAGCGUUGUCCGGAAUUAUUGGGCGUAAAGAGCUCGUAGGUGGCUUGUCACGUCGGGUGUGAAAGCUUGGGGCUUAACUCCAGGUCUGCAUUCGAUACGGGCUGGCUAGAGGUAGGUAGGGGAGAACGGAAUUUCUGGUGUAGCGGUGAAAUGCGCAGAUAUCAGGAGGAACACCGGUGGCGAAGGCGGUUCUCUGGGCCUUACCUGACGCUGAGGAGCGAAAGCGUGGGGAGCGAACAGG